rnacentral:miRNA from 1 species
CUGACAAACCCAGUAGAGAAAU